rnacentral:rRNA from 1 species
AUUGAACGCUGGCGGCAUGCCUUACACAUGCAAGUCGAACGGUAACAGGUCUUCGGAUGCUGACGAGUGGCGAACGGGUGAGUAAUACAUCGGAACGUGCCUAGUAGUGGGGGAUAACUACUCGAAAGAGUGGCUAAUACCGCAUGAGAUCUACGGAUGAAAGCAGGGGAUCGCAAGACCUUGUGCUACUAGAGCGGCCGAUGGCAGAUUAGGUGGUUGGUGGGAUAAAAGCUUACCAAGCCGACGAUCUGUAGCUGGUCUGAGAGGACGAUCAGCCACACUGGGACUGGGACACGGCCCAGACUCUGACGGGAGGCAGCAGUGGGGAAUUUUGGACAAUGGGCGAAAGCCUGAUCCAGCAAUGCCGCGUGCAGGAUGAAGGCCUUCGGGUUGUAAACUGCUUUUGUACGGAACGAAAAGCCCCGGGUUAAUACCCUGGGGUCAUGACGGUACCGUAAGAAUAAGCACCGGCUAACUACGUGCCAGCCGCCGCCGUAA